CCCUUAGAUGUUCUGGGCUGCACGCGUGCUACACUGAUUAUUUCAACAAGUGUUUUAACUGGAGAGUUCGCGUAAUCCUGAAGUGUUAUCGUGAUGGGAGUAGAGUAUUGUAUUUGUUAAUCUUUAACGAGGAAUUCCUAGCAAGUGUAGGUUUAUAAGUUGUUCUGAUUACGUCCCUGCCCUUUGUACACACCGCCCGUCGCUCCUACCGAUUGAUUGAUCCGGUGAAUUACAUAGAAUUUUGCGUUUUACAUGACGGAAGACGAAGUGUUUUAAACCUUAUCAUUUAGAGGAAGGAGAAGUCGUAACA
rnacentral:rRNA from 1 species